CACACACUAGUGAGAGUAAAUGGCAGAGGAGAGACUGAUACAGGAGCAGGAGCAGUUCUGCACGACUCUUGUCCGCUUUAGUCACUGCUGUGAACACACAGCAGCGUGAUAUUGAUGGAAAAGUAUUAGGAGAAAAGAAUCUCAAAUACCUGCAAUUUCCUGCGUUUGGACAGAUUCGUCCGAGUGAAUCCUCUUCUAUGAACGAAGUGAAGCCUUUCUGAUAUCAAUGUCCUCGAUUAGUGCCUCAAGCUGAAUCUGGAAACUCUUAGUGAGUGUUCUGGAGGUUGUAUCCAAGGCUUCAUCACCCUGUGCUGCCUGGCCAGUUGGACAGAUGUUGACAAGUUGGUGCUUCCCUUGGCUGGACACGCAAACAGAGCAUGUCCAUCAAAUCAUCACACAUGGACUCCACGAUCAUGUCAGGAAUGUCCAGUUUGACAAUGCUGUGCUGAGAGUCAAAGAAGACCAUGGAGAGUGGCCGGCGCU